rnacentral:rRNA from 1 species
UACAGAGGGUGCAAGCGUUGUUCGGAAUUAUUGGGCGUAAAGCGCGUGUAGGCGGCUUUGCAAGUCGGGUGUGAAAGCCCUCAGCUUAACUGAGGAAGUGCGCCCGAAACUGCAUUGCUUGAGUACCGGAGAGGAUGGCGGAAUUCCCGAAGUAGAGGUGAAAUUCGUAGAUAUCGGGAGGAACACCGGUGGCGAAGGCGGCCAUCUGGACGGAUACUGACGCUGAGACGCGAAAGCGUGGGUAGCAAACAGG